rnacentral:rRNA from 1 species
GGACUACUAGGGUAUCUAAUCCUGUUUGAUCCCCACGCUUUCGCGCCUCAGCGUCAGUUGUGUGCCAGAUAGCCGCCUUCGCCACCGGUGUUCCUCCUAAUAUCUACGAAUUUCACCUCUACAUUAGGAAUUCCGCUAUCCCCUCACACACUCCAGGCUGACAGUUUCAAAGGCAGUUCCGGAGUUAAGCUCCGGGAUUUCACCCCUGACUUGACAGCCCGCCUACGCGCGCUUUACGCCCAGUAAUUCCGAACAACGCUAGCACCCUUCGUAUUACCGCGGCUGCUGGCAC